GACGAACGCUGGCGGCGUGCUUAACACAUGCAAGUCGAACGGAAAGGCCCCUUCGGGGGUACUCGAGUGGCGAACAGGUGAGUAACACGUGAGUAACCUGCCCUUGACUUCGGGAUAACUUCAGGAAACUGGGGCUAAUACCGGAUAGGAAUCCUUGCUGCAUGGUGGGGGUUGGAAAGCUUCGGCGGUUUUGGGUGGACUCGCGGCUUAACAGCUUGUUGGUGGGGUAGUGGCUUACCAAGGCUUUGACGGGUAGCCGGCCUGAGAGGGCGACCGGCCACAUUGGGACUGAGAUACGGCCCAGACUCCUACGGGAGGCAGCAGUGGGGAAUAUUGCACAAUGGGCGGAAGCCUGAUGCAGCAACGCCGCGUGCGGGAUGACGGCCUUCGGGUUGUAAACCGCUUUCAGCAGGGGCGAAGCUUGUGGUGACGGUACCUGCAGAAGAAGCACCGGCUAACUACGUG
rnacentral:rRNA from 1 species